GCUGCCGGCCAGGCGGUGGACAUCGCCGCAUCGGCGAUGUGGCAAGGCGUCUCGGCUGCAGCGGGUUCCAAUCCGAUCCGGUUGUGC
rnacentral:tRNA from 1 species